CACACACACACACACACACACACACACACACACACACACACACACACACACACACACACACACACACACACACACACACACACACACAAAAUCACAAACACAAAGAUAAACUGCAAUGGUGUAAAUUCAGCUGUCAUGUUCCAGUCAUCUCUGUCUAUUCGUCCAGCCACAAAAUAUAAAUUCUAAGACAUUUUCACAGGAGGAAAGAUUAUGUGAAAAAGAAUAUAUUAUAUUUACUAUUAAAGUUAUAAAUUAUUGUACAACUGCACCGCUACUGUACAGAUUGCCCAGAUGUGCAUCUUUGAGUUACAGGUUAUUAGUUCCUGUUCUUUUUUUUUUUUCCAUUCUAUAAAUCCUAUUGCUUUUGUACAGAGAGGGAUGACUAAGGGGAAUCGCUUGUAUAUUAUUAUUGAAAUCCUCCAGCGGUACUCCGGUGGAACGAGGGACGGAUGCACAUUCUCCCAGGCCUACUCUCCAGGGCUGCGUUUUCUGUCCACCAAACAGCCCCUGAGGUAUGCAGAGGUGUGCAUAUAGCCUCUUUAAGAACACCGACACCACCCUGUAAAUAGAGACCAGAGAUACAGACGUACCUCCUGUGUGAUCUACCGGAGCAGGCCACGCUGGACCUGGGGGGGGGGGGAGACGGCUACAGACACAGAACUAGAGUCUGCAGAAGUGCAAUGCAUCAUCCAGACAUGCAUUGUUUAGCCUGUGCUCUUAGAUCUGCUCUCAGUAGAUACUGCCAUUGGACGGUUCUUGAGGAUGUCACUCUUUGAGGGGUUCCUGAUACAUUCUGUUGUAAAUACUGUGUGGGACGGCCCCUGGCCUCUGGUACCUUGCUGCCCUGUCCCCAGACAGAAAAUGCAGCCUUAACUGUGCUGAAAUGAAAAAGACAAAAAAAAGGAAUGAACAAAAAAUGAAAUUAAUAUAAAGACUGAAUAUAUUAAAGAGUAACCUGCCUGUUAUUUAAGCGAAUAAAUAUCUAUAUAUGAGAAAGAACACACCUGUAUACUGUAGACUAAAACUGUAUGGAAAUCAAAGAGAAUUUAAUGGGAAUAAGUCCAAACACCUUUUGUCUGUAUGAAAGAAAAAAAUACAUCAAAGUAUUCUACAAUAAUAACUUUGACAACGUCUCUGUGACUCUGUGUUGUUUGUUGUUAUUGCUGCAUGGCUACACUUACAUUUCCUUUAAUGCCUGUACUUUUCUUUCACUGUUGGGUGGAAGCCCUGUCUCUCAUGAAACUAAAACAGAGACGCUGUCAUGUCCACAGCCCUCUGACCCCCAACCCUCUGACCUCUACCCCCAACCC
ensembl:lncRNA